rnacentral:rRNA from 1 species
GACGAACGCUGGCGGCGUGCUUAACACAUGCAAGUCGAACGAAGUGGCGAACGGGUGAGUAACGCGUAAUCAACCUGCCCUUCAGGGGGGGAUAACAGUUGGAAACGACUGCUAAUACCGCAUAAUGACGGAGGGGAUUGCGGCUGAGUAGCUAGUGGGAGGGGUAACGGCCCACCAAGGCGAUGAUCAGUAGCCGGUCUGAGAGGAUGAACGGCCACAUUGGGACUGGGACACGGCCCAGACUCCUACGGGAGGCAGCAGUUGGGAAUCUUCCGCAAUGGACGAAAGGCUGACGGAGCAACCCCGCGUGAGUGAUGACGGCCUUCGGGUUGUAAAGCUCUGUUAAUCGGGACGCGGUACCGGAAUAGAAAGCCACGGCUAACUACGUGCCAGCAGCCGCGGUAAUUC